rnacentral:rRNA from 1 species
CAGUCGCCGCGGGAAUACAGAGGAUGCAAGCGUUAUCCGGAAUGAUUGGGCGUAAAGCGUCUGUAGGUGGCUUUUCAAGUCCGCCGUCAAAUCCCAGGGCUCAACCCUGGACAGGCGGUGGAAACUACCAAGCUGGAGUAUGGUAGGGGCAGAGGGAAUUUCGGUGGAGCGGUGAAAUGCGUUGAGAUCGGAAAGAACACCAACGGCGAAAGCACUCUGCUGGGCCGACACUGACACUGAGAGACGAAAGCUAGGGGAGCAAAUGGGAUUAGAUACCCGCGUAGUCCCUGUCUCUUAUACA